rnacentral:rRNA from 1 species
GUGGGGAAUCUUAGACAAUGGGGGAAACCCUGAUCUAGCCAUGCCGCGUGAGCGAUGAAUGCCUUAGGGUUGUAAAGCUCUUUCAGCUGGGAAGAUAAUGACGGUACCAGCAGAAGAAGCCCCGGCUAACUCCGUGCCAGCAGCCGCGGUAAUACGGAGGGGGCUAGCGUUGUUCGGAAUUACUGGGCGUAAAGCGCACGUAGGCGGAUCAGAAAGUCAGAGGUGAAAUCCCAGGGCUCAACCUUGGAACUGCCUUUGAAACUCCUGGUCUUGAGGUCGAGAGAGGUGAGUGGAAUUCCGAGUGUAGAGGUGAAAUUCGUAGAUAUUCGGAGGAACACCAGUGGCGAAGGCGGCUCACUGGCUCGAUACUGACGCUGAGGUGCGAAAGCGUGGGGAGCAAACAGGAUUAGAAACCCGUGUAGUCC